rnacentral:rRNA from 1 species
GACGAACGCUGGCGGCGUGCUUAACACAUGCAAGUCGAACGGAAAGGCCCUGCUUUUGUGGGGUUCUCGAGUGGCGAACGGGUGAGUAACACGUGAGUAACCUGCCCUUGACUUUGGUAUAACUUCAGGAAACUGGGGCUAAUACCGGAUAGGAGCUCCUGCUGCAUGGUGGGGGUUGGAAAGUUUCGGCGGUUGGGGAUGGACGGGCGGGUUAUCAGCUUGUUGGUGGGGUAGUGGCUUACCAAGGCUUUGACGGGUAGCCGGCCUGAGAGGGUGACCGGCCACAAUGGUACUGAGAUACGGAGCAGACUCCUAAGGGAGGCAGCAGUGGGGAAUAUUGCACAAUGGGCGGAAGCCUGAUGCAGAAACGCCGCGUGCGGGAUGACGGCCUUCGGGUUGUAAACCGCUUUCGCCUGUGACGAAGCGUGAGUGACGGUAAUGGGUAAAGAAGCACCGGCUAACUACGUG